CCUACGGGUGGCAGCAGUGAGGAAUAUUGGUCAAUGGGCGCGAGCCUGAACCAGCCAAGUCGCGUGAGGGAAGACGGUCCUAUGGAUUGUACACCUCUUUUGUCGGGGAGCAAAAGACGCCACGUGUGCCUUUCCGAGAGUACCCGAAGAAAAAGCAUCGGCUAACUCCGUGCCAGCAGCCGCGGUAAUACGGAGGAUGCGAGCGUUAUCCGGAUUUAUUGGGUUUAAAGGGUGCGCAGGCGGAAGAUCAAGUCAGCGGUAAAAUUGAGAGGCUCAACCUCUUCGAGCCGUUGAAACUGGUGUUCUUGAGUGAGCGAGAGGUAUGCGGAAUGCGUGGUGUAGCGGUGAAAUGCAUAGAUAUCACGAAGAACUCCGAUUGCGAAGGCAGCAUACCGGCGCUUAACUGACGCUGAUGCACGAAAGUGUGGGUAUCGAACAGGAUUAGAUACCCGGGUAGUC
rnacentral:rRNA from 1 species